rnacentral:lncRNA from 1 species
GCAGCAUUAGUAGUAGUCGUAGCAGCAGCAGUGCUUUAGUAGUAGUAGUAGUAGGUUGAAGAGAGGAGAAGAGAGAGCAGCAGUGCUUUAGUAGUAGCAGCAGUGCUUUAGUAGUAGCAGCAGCAGCAGAUGAGAGGAGAAGAUAGGAGAGAGAACACACAAAGGAGACAAAUUAGUUUGGUAGUAGUAGAAGAAGAAGAAGAAGAAACAAAUGUGCCCUCAAAUUAGCGGGUUGCUGCUUUAUAGAGCCAUCCGCUGCUCUGUGGUGAUCAUAGAUCAUAGACUUAUAUGACAGUCAGUAAUAGGUUAAGAGAAAACCCAUUUGCACUACAAGACCAAAAACCUCUGGGGGAGGCUAGUAUCCAAUGGCACUCCAUUCGAGACGAGUUUCCCCCAGAAGCUUUUGGUCUAGGAGAAGCUAUGGGUAUUUGACUGUCAUGUUGUCUCACUACACCUUUAGUAUCAUCGAGCAAGAAAUUUUGAAAAAAAAAAGUAUUACAAGUAGUGAAGGCCUCAGUACCAUGUCAAUCAUCAUUUGAUCAUGAACUUGGAGCAUAAAGGCAUCGUAAUAGAGAAGAUGAGGUCAUAUAGGGGCCGCUGGUAACGAUGCCAAGUUCCUCACAAGUUCCUGAUCAUCAGCUCAUAUUCCAUAUAAUGAAUGGACUUAGACAAUCUAAUCAUCGGCAAAACAAAGGAGAGAAGAAAAAUCAUAGAAGUAGGAGAGAAGAGUAGUAGAAUUAGGACUAGAGUAGAGCAGCAGCUAGCACUAGUAGUAGACUAGUGCAGUAGUAGUAGAGUUGGAGCACAACAGCAGUAGUAGUAGGAUUACAGUAAGCCACAAAUUAUAAUGACAGUAAGCCCCAACAGUAGUGUAGUACUAGUAGAGUACUAGAGUAGAGCAGCAGCUAGGACUAGUAGUAGACUAGUGCAGCAGUGUUGUAGAGAGGAUGAGAGUAGAAAAUAGAAGAGAGACAGAAAGAGCAGAGAGGAAGGAGAGGUGAGGAGAGGGAAAGGUUUAAAAAAGGCCUUAGAAAUAUGUCUACCAUCAUUUGAUCAAGAACUUGGAGCAUCAAGGCAUCAAAACAGAGAAGUAGGUUGAAGAGAGGAGAAGAGAGAGCAGCAGUGCUUUAGUAGUAGUAUUAGUAGUAGUAGUAGUAGUAGUAGUAGUAGUAGUAGUAGUAGUAGUAGUAGUAGUAGUAGUAGCAGCAGCAGCAGCAGCAGCUAGGACUAGUAGUAGACUAGUGCAGCAGUGUUGGAGAGAGGAUGAGAGUAGAAAAUAGAAGAGAGACAGAAAGAGCAGAGAGGAAGGAGAGGUGAGGAGAGGGAAAGGUUUUAAAAAGGCCUUAGAAAUAUGUCUACCAUCAUUUGAUCAAGAACUUGGAGCAUCAAGGCAUCAAAACAGAGAAGUAGGUUGAAGAGAGGAGAAGAGAGAGCAGCAGUGCUUUAGUAGUAGCAGCAGUGCUUUAGUAGUAGCAGCAGCAGCAGAUGAGAGGAGAAGAUAGGAGAGAGAACACACAAAGGAGACAAAUUAGUUUGGUAGUAGUAGAAGAAGAAGAAGGAGAAACAAAUGUGCCCUCAAAUUAGCGGGUUGCUGCUUUAUAGAGCCAUCCGCUGCUCUGUGGUGAUCAUAGAUCAUAGACUUAUAUGACAGUCAGUAAUAGGUUAAGAGAAAACCCAUUUGCACUACAAGACCAAAAACCUCUGGGGGAGGCUAGUAUCCAAUGGCACUCCAUUCGAGACGAGUUUCCCCCAGAAGCUUUUGGUCUAGGAGAAGCUAUGGGUAUUUGACUGUCAUGUUGUCUCACUACACCUUUAGUAUCAUCGAGCAAGAAAUUUUGAAAAAAAAAGUAUUACAAGUAGUGAAGGCCUCAGUACCAUGUCAAUCAUCAUUUGAUCAUGAACUUGGAGCAUAAAGGCAUCGUAAUAGAGAAGAUGAGGUCAUAUAGGGGCCGCUGGUAACGAUGCCAAGUUCCUCACAAGUUCCUGAUCAUCAGCUCAUAUUCCAUAUAAUGAAUGGACUUAGACAAUCUAAUCAUCGGCAAAACAAAGGAGAGAAGA